rnacentral:rRNA from 1 species
AGUUUGAUCCUGGCUCAGAUUGAACGCUGGCGGCAGGCCUAACACAUGCAAGUCGAGCGGUUGACGGGAGCUUGCUCCCUGAUUCAGCGGCGGACGGGUGAGUAAUGCCUAGGAAUCUGCCUAUUAGUGGGGGACAACGUUUCGAAAGGAACGCUAAUACCGCAUACGUCCUACGGGAGAAAGCAGGGGACCUUCGGGCCUUGCGCUAAUAGAUGAGCCUAGGUCGGAUUAGCUAGUUGGUGAGGUAAUGGCUCACCAAGGCGACGAUCCGUAACUGGUCUGAGAGGAUGAUCAGUCACACUGGAACUGAGACACGGUCCAGACUCCUACGGGAGGCAGCAGUGGGGAAUAUUGGACAAUGGGCGAAAGCCUGAUUCAGCCAUGCCGCGUGUGUGAAGAAGGUCUUCGGAUUGUAAAGCACUUUAAGUUGGGAGGAAGGGUUGUAGAUUAAUACUCUGCAAUUUUGACGUUACCGACAGAAUAAGCACCGGCUAACUCUGUGCCAGCAGCCGCGGUAA